UGGGGAAUAUUGCGCAAUGGGGGAAACCCUGACGCAGCAACGCCGCGUGAUCGAAGAAGGUCUUCGGAUUGUAAAGAUCUUUUAUCAGGGACGAAGAAAGUGACGGUACCUGAUGAAUAAGCUCCGGCUAACUACGUGCCAGCAGCCGCGGUAAUACGUAGGGAGCGAGCGUUAUCCGGAUUUACUGGGUGUAAAGGGCGAGUAGGCGGGCUGGUAAGUUGGAAGUGAAAUGUCGGGGCUUAACCCCGGGAACUGCUUUCAAAACUGCUGGUCUUGAGUGAUGGAGAGGCAGGCAGAUUCCUAGUGUAGCGGUGAAAUGCGUAGAUAUUAGGAGGAACACCAGUGGCGAAGGCGGCCUGCUGGACAUUAACUGACGCUGAGGAGCGAAAGCGUGGGGAGCAAACAGGAUUAGAUACC
rnacentral:rRNA from 1 species